AUGUUGCACCAACUUGGCGCUCCCAGGAUCAUGCUAAAGCUGGACCUCACACGCGCCUUCUUGACUCCAUCUCUUGGCCCUUUCUCUUUGAGGUACUGCGCCAGUAUGGGUUCGGGGAGCGAUUCCGGGAGUGGCUGGCCAUUCUGCUCUCCUCGGCUAGCAAGCGGGUCAUGGUUAAUGGAGUCCCCGGCCCUCCAAUAUGACACCGUCAUAACCUGA
rnacentral:rRNA from 1 species